GCUUGGAUGGCUCAGCUGGUUAGAGCGCAGGUCUCAUACUUUCACGUAUGACCGCCGCACGGUGGGCAAUCCUGAGGUCGUGAGUUCGAUCCUCACUCCGAGCA